rnacentral:rRNA from 1 species
AUUGAACGCUGGCGGCAGGCUUAACACAUGCAAGUCGAGCGGAGCGAGGGUGCUUGCACCUUAGCUUAGCGGCGGACGGGUGAGUAAUGCUUAGGAAUCUGCCUAUUAGUGGGGGACAACAUUCCGAAAGGAAUGCUAAUACCGCAUACGCCCUACGGGGGAAAGCAGGGGAUCUUCGGACCUUGCGCUAAUAGAUGAGCCUAAGUCGGAUUAGCUAGUUGGUGGGGUAAAGGCCUACCAAGGCGACGAUCUGUAGCGGGUCUGAGAGGAUGAUCCGCCAGACUGGGACUGAGACACAGCCCAGACUCCUACGGGAGGCAGCAGUGGGGAAUAUUGGACAAUGGACGGAAGCCUGAUCCAGCCAUGCCGCGUGUGUGAAGAAGGCCUUUUGGUUGUAAAGCACUUUAAGCGAGGAGGAGGCUACUCAGAUUAAUACUCUAGGAUAGUGGACGUUACUCGCAGAAUAAGCACCGGCUAACUUUGUGCCAGCCGCCGCGUAAGAC